GUUAGGAAUAUUGGACAAUGGGCGAAAGCCUGAUCCAGCCAUGCCGCGUGAACGAUGAAGGCCUUCGGGUUGUAAAGUUCUUUAGCCGAUGAUUAUAAUGACUGUAGUCGGAAAAUAAGCCCCGGCUAACUUCGUGCCAGCAGCCGCGGUAAUACGAAGGGGGCGAGCGUUAUUCGGAAUCACUGGGCGUAAAGCGUGCGUAGGCGGGUUUGUAAGUUAGGAGUGAAAGCCCAGGGCUCAACCUUGGAAUUGCUCUUAAAACUGCAAGGCUCGAAUCUCGGAGAGGAUAGCGGAAUUUCCAGUGUAGCAGUGAAAUGCGUAGAUAUUGGAAGGAACACCAGUGCGUAAGCGGCUAUCUGGACGAGUAUUGACGCUGAGGCACGAAAGCGUGGGGAUCAAACAGGAUUAGAAACCCUGGUAGUCC
rnacentral:rRNA from 1 species